UACAGAGGGUGCAAGCGUUAUUCGGAAUCAUUGGGCGUAAAGAGCGUGUAGGCGGUCUGGUAAGUCUGGUGUGAAAGCCCCGGGCUCAAUCCGGGAAGUGCAUUGGAUACUAUUAGACUAGAGUACAGGAGAGGUGAGCGGAAUUCCUGGUGUAGAGGUGAAAUUCGUAGAUAUCAGGAGGAACAACAGUGGCGAAGGCGGCUCACUGGACUGUAACUGACGCUAAGGCGCGAAAGCGUGGGGAGCAAACAGG
rnacentral:rRNA from 1 species